GGUGGCUCAGGGGUAGAGUGCUUGCUUUGCAUGCAUGAGACCCUGGGUUCGAUUCCUUAGCACCA
rnacentral:tRNA from 1 species